rnacentral:sRNA from 1 species
GGGUGGGAAGGUGGGGGCAGGGCCUCAAGACUUCUAACACCACUUCUCCCCACCCCACCUGGUUCUGGCUUAGAUUAGUCAAUAAACAAAGGGAAGCCAGGACAUUUUAACAAAGGUAUAUCCCAUGCAAGGUUUGAAUACACUUAAACUGAAACUUUCUGUUUGUCUGACAUUCAGUGCUCUGUAUUUUAUUUGACAACCAUUCCUAGACUGCUCCUUCCUUCUGCCCUGGAGUAGGGUCCAAGAGGGAUGGGGUUGGGGGGAAUCCCUUAGAAUAACUCCCUAACUAAAAGGCACAGCUACAAAUUCUGUCCUAACCAUCAAUGAAUAAGGGCAAAGAGCCACGUUUGGUAACACAUGCUUGUAACUCCAGCAUUUGGAAUGCUAGAAGCAGGAUCACAGGGUGAGGGCUAGUCUGUAUAAGGAGUUCUAGGCUAGCCUUGGCUAUAUAGCUAGACUCUGUCUCAAAACAAUAACCAAACAACCUCAUAGAACAAUAGCCCCAUAUCUCUGUAAUGAACAAACAGCUUGUGGUAACUGACAGCUUUGGCGAAACUCUGGUAAGUUCAGCAAUCAAUAAUUGUUGCUAUGACUAAGGAAGGUAUCUGUGACCAUAUUGGUACCUCAUUGUAGGGGGUGGGGCAGAAUUGUCACCAAUCCUGAGGUCCUCUCCCUUAGGGCCUCCUGAUGUCCUGUAAGUCCUUUGCCUGCCUUAUGACUUCUCUAAGCAGCUGUCAUAGCCAUCAGAUCUUCAGGAGAGAAGAGAGUGAAGAUAGUUACAGGAGUUAGGGUAGGGAGAAAGGCACUCUCCUCUGCCCAGGCAGGCACCUCCUUCUACCAUGCUCCAGACUCCCCUGCUUGCUGCCAGCAUCACAGCUGAGGAGGAGUGUCUCUUGCUGUCGAUACAGCAGCUAAGGAGUACGUACCCUCUUCAGAAAUCACACUGUCAACAGAUGAGUUUCAAGCCAAGAGCACACAGCCCUGGAGGUUGCAGAGUGGAGGUGAGAAGUCCUUUUGUUGAAGCCCAUGAAGAGCAAGCAGAAGUCAAAGAUCAGGCCUCACUCUUCUGUGUCUUCUCCUUGGCCCUCUGUCUUGUUUCAUAAAGACGUGUGUGCAGAGAAGGAAAUACAUCUAUUCAAAGAUGGUCCCCCAGUCCCUGCCUCCAGGUUGUCUCCACAGUGUUGGUCCUUCUUGCUCAUUUUGUCACAAGCCUCCCUCCAGAUCACUUUUCCUAGAGCAGGCCACGUGGCUGUCAAGACCCUAACCGUUGCCUCCAACAGAUGAGCACAAUUUACUGGCUGCCAUUGUCACACAUUCCGUCAGUCUGAGCCUCACUCUCCCCAAGAUGUACCGGAAUCUUUCCCCAGAGUCCUUCUCCUGGCUCUGCAGCCAAGUCUCUCACUUGAAUCCCAACCUAUAUGUCAUUCCCAAAAUCAUGGCUCCCUUUGUACCGUCUUCCAACUCCUCCCUGUGCUCCUCCAUUUCAGGACGGUUCUCCCUGCAUCCUCUCUCACAGUACCCUGGUGAUCUGCUUCGUGGAAAAACACCAUCUGUAAUCUCAGCGUAAACUUGUCAACAUCUGUGGUUUUUGUCGCCGCCUCUGAAACGCAAGCUCCAGGGCUUUUGCUUUGCUCCAUACCGCAUUCCCAGUGCCUUGACCGGACAGCAGACACACAUGUUCGUCGAGUGAAUGAGUGAUAGUUGAUGCCUGGAGAGUCUCUAUUGCAUUGCUCAGUCUGUACAGACGCCAUCUCCCUCCCUCCUUUGAGGGACCACCUUCCCUCUUCCGUCUGUGUGGCUCCUUAGGUCUGUAUUCUUUCCGGGCACAGGGCCAGACCAAGAAUCACACCGCCUAUCAGAGCAUUCCCUCUCCCCCCAACUCCCUCUCUUUCUCUCUCUCUCUGGGAAUGCACAUGUUGCCGGGCUGGUUCUGGGAGCCCCCAACCUGAGAGGCUCGCUGCCAAGGUGAUGGGAUAUGGUCCUGUUGUUGCCAGUAGGGUAGUCCCUGGAAGACAGUCACUGAUAGGGAAGCCAGGUAAGAGAUGGAUGGGGGCAAGUUCCAGACAACAGCCUUCAAACAUCUGGAUCCAGAUGUGCCCGUCUUUCACUUCCUCAUCACAACCUUCUGCAAUUCCAAAAGUGGUCCAGGUCAUAAAUCUCAAAAUAACCUGGGCAAGAGUGCACACUAAUGGUGGAACACCAGUCCUGGGGCUCCAGGGCUUGCAGUUAUUCACCCUGCCACACUGCUUGUACAAAGCUUCAACUUUGUGUUGUGUCCGGAGAGGGAAAGGACGUGGGGUGCCUAGGAAAGUUCUCCACUUCUCAACUCAUUUGUAUAACCUGAGGAAGCAGGAGACCAUGCUCUAGACACAGCUACUACCGGGGUGUUGUGUCUGUAUCCUUUGGGUUCUCUUCGUGUUGGUGGGAUGCAGAUCAGCUGUUCAAAGGAACAACUCUUCAUCAUCAAAGAUUUCAAAUAUAAGUGGAGGUAGCAACAAGGAUUCAAACGUUCCAUUGCAUGCUCAUAAAUCAGCCCCAAUAAAUUCCUGGCCACCCCUGCUCCAUCUCUUUAUCCACCCACUCCUUCCUGCCUGCCUUCCCUCCCCUGAUUGCUUUCAAGCGUGUCAUUUUAUAUGGAAAUAUGUUAAUAUGCAUUUCUAGAUGAUAAGACUCCUUUAAAGAUAUAUCUGGUCUGCUGCUGGCAUCUCACUGGAGCAGGUCGUUCCAGUAAUGACUUCCAAGGAGCCUGACUCUUGGUCUAACACCCUUGAGAACUUCCCUCUGGCACUCCUUUGAGCUUGAUUGACAAGGAUCUGGAACUGCCUGAGAUCUGCUAAACUGGUAUUUGCUUCUCUACCAUGGAAUUCUGGCUUCACAAAGCAGAAGACAGCCAGAGGCCCUAUAACCUCCACAAUAAUCAGUCCAGUCUCUAUGCACAGGGCCCUGUGAGCAGUGACUCUUCAGGAUGUCCCAGCAUGGCUCCAUUUUGACCAGUACUCCAUUGCUACAAAGAAUUCUGCUAAACAGCGCUAGGUGGAAGAUUGAAAAGUCAUCCCUGAGACACUUUGAAUCCCUACCCCAUAGACCUUGAAGGUGUGGGGCCAGAGGGAAGAGGAGGCCUGAGAGGAACGACCUCACCAGGCUGCAGUUUUGAUUUGAUGAUGUCAUUUUAACUUCUAAAUGGCCACUGACAUUUCCUCUCUCACCCCACUUUUUUGUUUUCAUUUAAAAAAAUUCUUUUUCUACGCUUA